rnacentral:rRNA from 2 species
UACGUAGGGUGCAGGCGUUAAUCGGAAUUACUGGGCGUAAAGCGUGCGCAGGCGGCUCCUUAAGUCAGAUGUGAAAGCCCCGGGCUUAACCUGGGAACUGCGUUUGAAACUGGGGAGCUGGAGUGUGGAAGAGGGGGGUGGAAUUCCAGGUGUAGCAGUGAAAUGCGUAGAGAUCUGGAGGAACACCGAUGGCGAAGGCAGCCCCCUGGGCUAACACUGACGCUCAUGCACGAAAGCGUGGGGAGCAAACAGG